rnacentral:tRNA from 1 species
AGGAGAAUAGUUGCAACGGUAGAACGAUGGUUUCCAAAACCAGAGGUUGGGGGUUCGAAUCCCUCUUUUCCUG